CUCAUAUAGAAGCUGUAUAUAAUAUUCAUUCCUCUUAAAAAGGUGUAUCAAAUCAUGAGGAUAAUUCUUUACGUGAAUGGACAGAGUCAUAUACUCAGGGUGGAGUAGAUUUAAUAAGAAUCUAAGGGGCAUGAUUUUCACUCAGAGGUCAGGUACAAUAGCGUUUGAAAAAUUAUUGGACAGCUACAUGGAUAGGAAAGGUGUAGAAGGAUAUGGACCAAAUGCGGGCAAAUGGGACUAGCUUAGGUGGAACAUCUUGAUCGACAUGGAUGAGUUAGGCUGAAGGGCCUGUUUCCAUGCUGAUUAAUUCUAUAAUUCU